rnacentral:rRNA from 1 species
AUUGAACGCUGGCGGCAGGCUUAACACAUGCAAGUCGAGCGAGCGGCGGACGGGUGAGUAAUGUCUGGGAAACUGCCUGACGGAGGGGGAUAACUACUGGAAACGGUAGCUAUUACCGCAUACCAUCAGAUGUGCCCAGAUGGGAUUAGCUAGUAGGUGGGGUAAUGGCUCACCUAGGCGACGAUUCCUAGCUGGUCUGAGAGGAUGACCAGCCACACUGGAACUGAGAUCCGGUGCAGACUCCGACGGGAGGCAGCAGUGGGGAAUAUUGCACAAUGGGCGCAAGCCUGCUGCAGACAUGCCGCGUGUGUUAAGAAGGCCUGCGGGUUGUAAAGCACUUUCAGCGAGGAGGCGUUACUCGCAGAAGAAGCACCGGCUAACUCGGUGCCAGCAGCCGCGGUAAUAC